rnacentral:rRNA from 1 species
UGGGGAAUCUUGGACAAUGGGGGCAACCCUGAUCCAGCGAUGCCGCGUGAAUGAAGAAGGCCCUUGGGUUGUAAAGUUCUUUCACCUGUGACGAUAAUGACGGUAACAGGAGAAGAAGCCCCGGCUAACUCCGUGCCAGCAGCCGCGGUAAGACGGAGGGGGCUAGCGUUGUUCGGAAUGACUGGGCGUAAAGGGCGCGUAGGCUGUUUAUCAAGUCAGGCGUGAAAGCCUCGGGCUUAACCUGAGAACGGCGCUUGAUACUGGUAGACUUGAGGACGAGAGAGGAAAGUGGAAUUCCGAGUGUAGAGGUGAAAUUCGUAGAUAUUCGGAGGAACAUCAGAAGCGAAGGCGGCUUUCUGGCUCGUCCCUGACGCUGAGGCGCGAAAGCGUGGGGAGCAAACAG